rnacentral:siRNA from 1 species
GGUAUACCCCUUGAAGCCUUGUC